rnacentral:rRNA from 1 species
AUUGAACGCUGGCGGCAGGCCUAACACAUGCAAGUCGAACGAGUGGCGGACGGGUGAGUAAUGUCUGGGAAACUGCCUGAUGGAGGGGGAUAACUACUGGAAACGGUAGCUAAUACCGCAUACCAUCAGAUGUGCCCAGAUGGGAUUAGCUAGUUGGUGGGGUAACGGCUAACCAAGGCGACGAUCCCUAGCUGGUCUGAGAGGAUGACCAGCCAAACUGGAAUGAGAACACGGUCCAGAUGCUGAGGGGAGGCAGCAGUGGGGAAUAUUGCACAAGGGGCGAAAGCCUGAUGCAGCCAGGCCGGGUGUAUGAAGAAGGCCUGCGGGUUGUAAAGUACUUUCAGCGGGGAGGCGUUACCCGAAGAAGAAGCACCGGCUAACUCCGUGCCAGCAGCCGCGGUAAUU